rnacentral:rRNA from 1 species
AGUGAACGCUGGCGGUAGGCCUAACACAUGCAAGUCGAACGGCAGCACAGUAAGAGCUUGCUCUUACGGGUGGCGAGUGGCGGACGGGUGAGGAAUCCAUCGGAAUCUACUUUUUCGUGGGGGAUAACGUAGGGAAACUUACGCUAAUACCGCAUACGACCUACGGGUGAAAGCAGGGGAUCUUCGGACCUUGCGCGACUGAAUGCGCCGAUGUCGGAUUAGCUAGUUGGCGGGGUAAAGGCCCACCAAGGCGACGAUCCGUAGCUGGUCUGAGAGGAUGAUCAGCCACACUGGAACUGAGACACGGUCCAGACUCCUACGGGAGGCAGCAGUGGGGAAUAUUGGACAAUGGGCGCAAGCCUGAUCCAGCCAUACCGCGUGGGUGAAGAAGGCCUUCGGGUUGUAAAGCCCUUUUGUUGGGAAAGAAAAGCAGCAGGUUAAUACCCCGCUGUUCUGACGGUACCCAAAGAAUAAACACCGGCUAACUUCGUG